rnacentral:rRNA from 1 species
CCCUUAGAUGUUCUGGGCCGCACGCGUGCUACACUGAGUAAUUCAAUGGGUAAGGGAACGCUAGAGCAUUACCUAAUCUUGAAAUCUGCUCGUGAUGGGGAUCGACGGUUGCAAUUUUCCGUCGUGAACGAGGAAUACCUUGUAGGCGCAUGUCAUCAUCAUGCGCCGAAUACGUCCCUGCCCUUUGUACACACCGCCCGUCGCUCCUACCGAUUGAGUGAUCCGGUGAGGCUCUGGGACCUGGACGGAAAGAGCGUUUCGCUUGUUCUGUUUGGGAAACUUGGUCGAACCUUAUCAUUUAGAGGAAGGAGAAGUCGUAACA